rnacentral:tRNA from 1 species
CCGCGGCGGGCUGCCGGAUCGAGCCGCCGGUGUCGGUGCCGAUGGCCAGCGGGGCCUGGUACGAGGCCAGCGCCGCGGCC